AGCUCCAAUAGCGUAUAUUAAAGUUGUUGCAGUUAAAAAGCUCGUAGUUGGAUUUGGGACUGGAGUCGUUCGGUCGGCCGCAAGGUCUGUUACUGAACGGCUCUGUCAUCACAUUCCCAGAGACCUGCCGUGUACUUAACUGUGUGCGGUACGGGAUUUGGGACGUUUACUUUGAAAAAAUUAGAGUGCUCAAAGCAGGCAAUCGCCUGAAUCUUCGUGCAUGGAAUGAUGGAAUAGGGCCUCGAUCCUGUUUUGUUGGUUCAAGGGAUUUGAGGUAAUGAUUAAGAGGGACGGCCGGGGGCAUUCGUAUUGCGACGUUAGAGGUGAAAUUCUUAGAUCGUCGCAAGACGGACUACUGCGAAAGCAUUUGCCAAGAAUGUUUUCAUUGAUCAAGAACGAA
rnacentral:rRNA from 1 species